GAUGAAGAACGUAGCGAAAUGCGAUACUUGGUGUGAAUUGCAGAAUCCCGUGAACCAUCGAGUCUUUGAACGCAAGUUGCGCCCGAAGCCACUAGGCCGAGGGCACGCCUGCCUGGGCGUCACACGCCGUUGCCCCCCCAUCUACUCCUUCGGGAUUGCGGGGGGGCGGAUGAUGGCCUCCUGUGCGCCUAGCCGCGCGGUUGGCAUAAAUACCAAGUCCUCGGCGACGCACGCCACGACAAUCGGUGGUUGCGAAACCGCGGUUGCCCGUCGUGUGCGUUCGUCGCGCAUCGAGGGCUCGAAAAAAUGCUCGGCUCCGGCUGGGCUUUCAACGCGAACCCAGGUCAGGCGGGGUUACCCGCUGAAUUUAAGCAUAUCAAUAAGCGGAGGA
rnacentral:misc_RNA from 1 species